GACGAACGCUGGCGGCGUGCCUAAUACAUGCAAGUCGAACGUAGCUGUUUUAACUGGUGCUUGCACCGACUUAAACAACUGAGUGGCGAACGGGUGAGUAACACGUGGGUAACCUGCCCCAAAGCGGGGGAUAACAUUUGGAAACAGAUGCUAAUACCGCAUAACCACAGAAACCACAUGGUUUCUGUGUCAAAGAUGGUUUCGGCUAUCACUGUGGGAAGGACCCGCGGCGUAUUAGCUAGUUGGUAAGGUAAUGGCUUACCAAGGCAAUGAUACGUAGCCGAACUGAGAGGUUGAUCGGCCACAUUGGGACUGAGACACGGCCCAAACUCCUACGGGAGGCAGCAGUAGGGAAUCUUCCACAAUGGACGAAAGUCUGAUGGAGCAACGCCGCGUGAGUGAAGAAGGUUUUCGGAUCGUAAAACUCUGUUGUCAGAGAAGAACGUGUGCGAGAGUAACUGCUCGUGCAGUGACGGUAUCUGGCCAGAAAGCCAUGGCUAACUACUUGCCAGCCGCCGCCGUAA
rnacentral:rRNA from 1 species